rnacentral:misc_RNA from 1 species
GAUGAAGAACGUAGCGAAAUGCGAUAAGUAGUGUGAAUUGCAGAAUUCAGCGAAUCAUCGAAUCUUUGAACGCACAUUGCGCCCCUUGGUAUUCCAUGGGGCAUGCCUGUUCGAGCGUCAUUUGUACCUUCAAGCUCUGCUUGGUGUUGGGUGUUUGUCUCGCCUCUGCGUGUAGACUCGCCUUAAAACAAUUGGCAGCCGGCGUAUUGAUUUCGGAGCGCAGUACAUCUCGCGCUUUGCACUCAUAACGACGACGUCCAAAAGUACAUUUUUACACUCUUGACCUCGGAUCAGGUAGGGAUACCCGCUGAACUUAAGCAUAUCAAUAAGCGGCGGA